GGCCAGUAAGGGGUGGAUAGCUCAGCCGGUAGAGCAGGAGAGACUUAGUCUCAGGAUAGUGGGUUUGAGCCCCACAUUGGGCA